rnacentral:lncRNA from 8 species
CCAGGAGUUGCAUGUGUGUUGUGAGCCAGGAGUGUCACCACUACACCACAUUGAAAGGUCACGAAGAAACAAAAACGUGUGAAAACGCAUUGAUGAACAAAUUGAAUCCUGGAGGAGGAUUUGGUUGACAUUUCAAGAUGAAUGGACGGCAAUGUUUAAAAUGGAACUAUCUGGUAAGUAAGGCCUGCUGCUGCUAGUACUACGCCAGCAUUAUUGUACCUGUUAUAUCUCCUGCACCACACCUUCCUACACCACCAACUGCAUUAGUCAACAGCAGAAACCUAGGGCCCAUCACUAAUGGCCCCCUAUUCCCUAUCUAGGGCACUACUUUUGACCAGGACCCAUAGUGCACUUUAUAGUGAAGAUAAGAUGCAAUUUGGGAUAAAGACUCAAGUCAGCAGAUGUCAAGGAUUUUUAGAUAAAAGUUGUUUAAAAGGGUUUCAAUCUACAUUAUCUGUAUUUACCACUUCAGAUAAUGUUCAUCUCCACUUCCUCACUCCCUCUUUCUCUAUUCUCUCUCUCUCUCCAUCCCCCUCUUUCACUCUCAUCCAUAUUCCUCUCUCUCUCACACACACACACACACACACACACACACACACACACACACACACACACACACACACACACACACACACACACACACACACACACACACACACACGGCUACGUGGUGCCCGACCUGCACAAGCGUCUGUUCCACGGGCAUCAGCUGAAGAUCUUCCUCCCGAAGAGUGCUGAGAAGCUGGAGUUCACACCCGCUGCACAGCUCCUGAAGAAAAUCCUGUACUGGAACCAUGGCGCCCGCACCGCCAGGGGAAAGGUGUCUGGGACAGGAACCGACAGGAGCUGGUAUCUGGACCAAUGCGUGGCGGGCAAGGAUCUCUACAUCUCAUUGGAGGGCAUCAAACGGGCCGACGCCACGCUCUCUUUCUCAGGCGUCAACGCCAACGUCACCCUGGUGCAUGAUGGGGCAGUGUUUGCCCAGGACCUCCCAGACUACUUGAACCGGGUCAAGACCCUUUCCACCAACACCUCAGACGUGGGCUAA